rnacentral:misc_RNA from 1 species
AACACUGUUAACCUGCGGUACCUGCGGAAGGAUCAUUAAAAAAACUUUGCCCGCGGACCCUGGGUCCAAGGCGCAAAACCCACACUGUGUGCACUGUUAUCGUUCUUUUGGCAGGGGCUUGGGGUGUCUUCCAACUUGGGGAACCUCAACUUCUCGUCUGGCUCUAUCCACCUCGGACAGCUGGACAUGAGAAGCAGUUACUCUGCCAAGUGACCCUUAAAAACACGCUUUUUUGUCUGA